GUGGGGAACACAGAGACAGAAAUGAGCCAUGUUCUGAAGCGCCCACCUGGCUGUGAUUCUGGACUCGUCCAUCAUCUUCCUGAAUUCGUCUUUGGCCUGCAUCAGCUUGUUCUUCUUCUCCUUCCUCUCUUCCUCAGCGCGGGUCUUCACAUACUGAUCAAACACCUGAAACCCACCAGAGAAAAAUGACCCCAAGCCCGAAGGGUUGAGGAGGAGGUACCGGGGAUCAAACACGAUCUUGUGAAGCUCUUUGUCCCACGUGGAGAAAGCAGACACCUUCAUGAAGGAAACGAAGACGUUCGACGAACUGGACAAGCAACAGUCAUGAUGGCGACAGAAAGCGGGCCUCACCCCUCUCUCCAGCAGCAUUUCUCUGAACUGUGUCAUCCUGGACUCCAGCGGCACCACGGCUCUUUCUCUGGCAGCACGGAGCUCGGCCUCCAUGGCGACCUCCUUAUCUGACUCCCCUUCUUUCAUGUCCUCUUUCCUGUGGAGAAGACAAAGAUCGCCAUCAGCAGACAGGCCCAGCUCGUCAUCCUUCAGACCUGUGAACCCAGGCAGCUGUCAGACACAAACGGCAACAGCCCAACGGCGGGACUUACCUAUCCUCUUUGAGUCAUCCAAACCUCGUUUGUGUGGCGGCUCCUGGAUGUGCUUGUCAACAUCAGCUCGACCCACCAGCUCCUCGGGUCGGUCCCACAUGGACAGCCGCGUGGUUGGAUUGUAAAAAAAGACCCGGUCGUCCCCGGUCCACACCACACACCUGACACACACGAGCGUGAGCGAUCGCAGCAAGGCUUUCACGGACCACCUGUCAGCUGACUCGAUCACCGUACCAGGGGGUCCCCGGGAUUGGGUUGGUGGCGACGGGUCGUGCUUUUUGAGCCGCUUUCUCCUCCUCCGUCAUCUCCGCUUCUUUAGUCUACUUGAACAAAAGGGAAUCCUCCUGACUAUAGUAGACAACGUCUGGGAGAAAGCUGUCAAGACAGCUAGCAUAAUUGAGACAACACCACAAGAUAAAGAGGUUGAGCACGAAGCGGUUAUGCGAGUGAGCUCCUGGGGGCUUGCUACAAGUUGACCUCUUCUCUAAUGACCUCCUCAGGCCUUUAAAUAAUCCAUCAGAGCCACUGCAGUUACUGAGGUGCUUACAUAAUCAUCCUCCACAGCGUAUGAACUUAAGUGUUCUCACAAACCUCCUUGUCAUUGAGGAGGAGGAGUUUGUUUUCUUCAUCCUCCAUCUCCAUGGCUUCAGCUUCUUCCUGCAGGAGACGCUCCUUCAGCUUUUCAGUUUCUUUCUCUACAGGGACGAGCAAGGGACACUCAAAUCAAGGCUGCAGGGUCACGUUGGGGCAUCAAAAGCAAACAACAUUUUUCUGAUGCCAUUAUUCAAUUACCAUGAAUGGUGAACACAAUCUGUCUGAAUCCUGUUUAUAAGAUUAGGUGUCAUACCUGGAGGUGACACGGGUUAAUUUUAGGUCAGCUAAUGUGAGACCAGGCUUCUUCUGACAUCUGACAAAUGACAGUGUUGUGUUGCUGGUGAGCAGAAAUUGAAAUUGCAUGAAGCUUGAGAAACCAGCUGCCAGCCUAACACACAUACACGUCAUAAAAAAAAUAAGAUUUAAUCAGAAGAAUCCAUCAAAACAGGUCCUAACAAAAGAGAACAGCAUCACAGACCUCCUCCAAAUCAUCUGCACUGGGAUUUCUGGAGUGGACAAUCACCUUUCUCCAGGACUGCCAGUGGUUUCUCCCACGUGGACUCCAGUGUUCUGUUGUUAUAGUAGUAGGUCUUCCCAUCAGCUGUCUUGUAUUCCAUCCACUCGGGAAGGUGUAGUGAACCAGCCAUGGAGGCGGGAGCAGCAGAGAGAGCCAGCUGAGGAUGCAUCAUAGAGACGAGCGGCGGACCCAUACCAGGAAGCAUGCCUGGAAUAAAGGCAAAUGAGUGGAUCAAAAGACUUCAGCCCGAGCCUUGUUGUCGUCUGAAUGAGGAAGACUUGGACCAAAAAACUGAAAGGGAGGAGCCUCGUAGGAAUCAUCGUCAAACUAAAUGUUUUGAGACACGUUUGCAGAACUGAAGGACUAAAGACAAAAAAGCUGUGUCCACACACACACAACCAUGCCACAAAUGUAGACAACACCACGACCACAUGUAGGCCAGAACCACAAAUCAUCACUGCUUAUCCGAUUCCGUUCCAGUUGUGAUAGUGAUAUUUACAGACAGGAAUAUCCUGAGACGGUCAAAUUUGGCCAACAAAUUUUGAAGAUCUGAGGCAGCUACAGAUUUAGCUCGACAGUUACUGAGAAGCUCAUGGACCUGUCAGAUUGUUGAAGUUCCCCCCCCUCCCCCGGCACACUUCUUAAGAAUACCAAUUCAGACGGACUGUUGUCACUAAUUUACCACAGAAAAAACAGUUUAAGACGCCAAGCAAGCUCAGAGUUUUGAAAUUUUGUUCCCAGGCUUGAGCUCCGAGGAAAGCCAGGUGCGGAGCAACUUGUCCCAUCAAUGGUGAAAUGGAUUGAUCAGUUUUCCUGGAUGGACACUGUUCACACCAUUCAGCACCAUGCCACUGUCGGAUAGUUCCCACAUGACUGAGGAGGACAUCGUUGACUAGCAUGCCAUCUACGAUGGGACUGAGAGGCGGGCGGCUGGGUGUUUACCGUUAGCGUUGGGGCCUGCCUUUACACACGGGGCACCUACUAUCUGCAUCAUUGCUACACCUGCAAGAACAACGGACAAGCAAGCAUCUGGUUGAACACAAAGGGAAACUAGACAGCAGCCACCGAUGUGUUGACAUGUGUGGCACAAAUCUGCUGCUUGCAGUACUUUCUAGUUCAGCAUCAAUGAAGGCUCUCAGUGGUCGAUUAAAACUGAUAUGGAAAGGAAUAUAUUUUUGAUGUUGUGCCUUAACACCAGAGUGGAUCAUGAGAUCGCAGAUAUAAAACACAGUCAGCAUUGUUGUCAGAGUUGUGUUUACAUAGUCAACAGUGUGACUCCAGACACAGAAGCAGGAUUUAGGGAUGACUGACUUGGCAUCUCAGUGCUGUGGAACUACUGCCCCUUCAGUCAGUUCGCUGGAAGAACUACAACCCGUAACUUUACAAUUACUGCCUCCUUCCAAAAACACUGCCAUCACUAUGUUAAAAAAUAACUACAGAAAACAAUAGCCACAAAUUAAUAGUUAAUACAUAUCUUACACAAAGAGAACAAACUUUAAUAACUAACAAAGUUAAAGAAGGGUAAUAUUAUCCAAAAACCUGAUGUGUUCGAACACUUAUUUCGGGAACAACUUUUGAAGAGCACUGACAAAUACAGAAACACCACACAACUGUAGGUAUUUAUUUUCCACAUUCACACAUCCAAAAUUUGGUAUCAACUUUUGCGAGAAAUGGCUGUCUGUCUAAGAUAUAACGCCACCAUACGUUGAAUGGAUGACACGUCACAUAUAAAAAUGGAUAAAGACAGCAACGUUGUGUGCUGGGUCUUACCUGGUAAGGGGAUGUGCAUUCCUGGCAGAGGUACUCUGAAGGGGGGCACCAUGACAGGGGGAAACGCGGGUAUCGCAGCGGUGGACUGGGCCACACUGUGAGGCAGCGCGGCAGGCAAUAACGGAACCGUUGGAACUGCCGUAACAGGUGAUGGCACCGUAGAAACGGUCACGACAGUGACUGGAGACACCGCUACAGUGGAGGUCUCCGGCGUAACCAGAGGAAGGUCUGCUACAACUGGGGCUGGAGGAAACAAAGACAUGUCCUUCAAUCCCUUUUGUUGAGAGCGGGGACGAUCACGGCAUCGACAUACUGACCUGCCAUCGAAACUGAGGGCGACAAAGUAGUCACCGAGUCCGGACUGGAGCUCAGCGUACGGGAGGGGGUACUUGAUGGGGCCUGCGUCGGAGAGGCUGCCGAAAUGCUUGCUGUUGUGUUGAUACUGCUUGAGCUGGCAGCUGCUGUUACACCCACGCUGGUCCCUCCAGUAGCGGUGACAAGGAGAGGGUUAAGCUCCGACUGCUGGAUGAUUUUGACACCUUCUGGUUUAGUCCAAGCCGACUCUCGGGUCCUGGCAUUGUAGUAAUAGGCCUGAAAAGAUUGGCCAAUGAGAUUAGGGCAUGUCCACAUCACUUUUCACCAGCAUCACACUGAUCAUAAUAAGGUGUCGACUAAAGUGCUGGUUGAGAAGUACCUUUCCUUCUGGUGUUUUGUUCUCCACCCAAAUCUCCUCUGCAGGGUUAGGGGCAGGUGCUCCUGCUGCAGACACAGGAGGCAUACCAGGAGGAAACAGCAUCCCUG